GCCCGCGUAGCUCAGCGGAUAGAGCGUCUGCCUCCGGAGCAGAAGGUCGUAGGUUCGAAUCCUGUCGCGGGCAC
rnacentral:tRNA from 2 species